GUGUCAGCCGCCGCGGUAAGACGAACCGUGCGAACGUUGUUCGGAAUCACUGGGCUUAAAGGGCGCGUAGGCGGGCUGUCAAGUCUGGGGUGAAAUCCCACGGCUCAACCGUGGAACUGCCUUAGAUACUGACGGCCUCGAGGGAGGUAGGGGCAUGCGGAACUGUAGGUGGAGCGGUGAAAUGCGUUGAUAUCUACAGGAACUCCGGUGGCGAAAGCGGCGUGCUGGACCUCUUCUGACGCUGAUGCGCGAAAGCUAGGGGAGCAAACGGGAUUAGAAACCCUAGUAGUCC
rnacentral:rRNA from 1 species